rnacentral:rRNA from 1 species
AUGGCAGCUUUGCGCGACGGGCGGCUCACGGCGAGACCUACAGCGGAAACGGCGAAGACGAGUCCUCGACCACAGAAACGGGGCACUACAGUGACAAAUUCGGUUCUACCCGGUGCGGGCGUCAGAGGUCAACCGCUGGACUAUGGCGAGGCGGCUCAUGGCAGAAAUAGCAGGGCCGGCCGGCGACAAGUGGCGCGAGGCGGUGGGUUGGCGAAAACCGGUGGAGGCGAGUCGAGCGGCCGACUUGAAGCUGAAGCAGCGGGACUUCGGCGAGUUGAAGCGGUGCUGCAACGGCGGUAA